rnacentral:lncRNA from 1 species
CAGAACUUAGUAUUAUCGAUCAUAGGGCGCCGUAGCUUAACUGGUAAAGCACCACCUUAACCGGUGGGAGAUUUUGGUUCGAAUCCCACCGGCGUCACCAUGGGUUGUGAGACUUGUUCACUGAUAGUAUAUCAGUAUAUCUGAGGCAUUCCUCAGGGCAACCCGUGGUGUAUGUGAUGACAAGUCCAUCACCAGAAGGCUAGGCGCCGAGGAGGAGGAGGAAAUGGCUGCACAAGGUCAAUGGAGCUGUCCAAGCAAAGUACCUACCAAGAGGCUACUGAAACAUGGCUAGGCCGAACCUCGCACGAGCCUUAGAUGGUGACCUCUAUGAGGGGUGCAGAAUCCCCCAGCGGGUGAAGCGGGUCGUAGGGGGCUAACUACCCUCCGCCAGGACAAAGCGCAGGGUGCUGUGUAGAGUGCAGUAGUGUAAGGGUAGGGAGGCGGUGCGACAUGCACGUGGCCUGAAGUUGUAACAGGAGCACCAGACUCCGGCAGGUUGCGAUAACUGGUCGUGUUCCACAGCGACAGUGUGGCGUCCUCACCAACGAUAGGUGGAACUCUAGGGUGGAAAAGGGCCCGUAGAGGUGACGCGGUGGGAAUAUAGCUUAUAGGACUGACUAGGUGCAGACCUCAGAGCGUUCCCCCCUUAACACACGCCAGGUUGAGCGGACACCGGUGUAACAAUAAUAAUAAUAAUAAUCAUAGAAUAGAUAUGAGGGGCCGUAAGAAGGUCAUGUCACGCCAAAACAUCUGGAGCGCACAAAUUACGUGCCACGACCGAGUUAGUCGCUAUCCGCAGGUGGCUAAGCCAACCGAAGGUAGUUAGGCGAACCGCGUAUUGAUUUAAUUGAGACUUUGGGUGUUGCCUGACUAGCGUAUAAGGCGCUUUCCGUUGUGAUUUGAGGAUGUUAGGUUGUCGUUCAUCUGUCGUUAGUCGGAUGAGCGUUACGCAUCCAGGGUAGGGCCGGGUGUGAUAAGGCCCGGCGUGGAUCAGUCGGUACUUCGCCAUAAAUGCGAGUGCGAAGAGGCCAAACAUUUGUCGUUUGGCUCUCGAAGCAACUCUUCGUGAGCGUAUAGACCAUNNNNNNNNNNNNNNNNNNNNNNNNNNNNNNNNNNNNNNNNNNNNNNNNNNAGGAGGCCAUGCCGUGGGCAGCUUAUCACGGCAUCCCCCCCGACGUCAGCCACCUCCACACCUUCAGCUGCCUGGCCUACGUCCGCAUCCACCCAGCCAGCAGGACAAACUCGGUCCUCGUGCAAAGGCGGAAACCCACCGCCGACCGGAGCAUGGCAUGGCCGCCCACAGCAUCCUCAUCGAGGGCAAGGUGACCGUGAGCAGCAACGUCACCUUCGAUGACAACCGCCACAGCCCGGUUCACAACGGGCGGGCACCCCCUUCAGCACUAGCCCCGCCUGCCCCGGUGGCAGCGACCCCAUCGGCGGCUCUACACCGCCCACCAAGCUGCCGACCCCAGUGGCCACCCCACCUCCGGUGACCCCAACACCACCCCUCCAUCCCAACACCCGCAGUCAACGGCAGUCCCUGCACACUCCCGCUGGUCCCGGUCAGUGACGGCCCGCCCCCCCCGACAGCAGCAGCAGCGGCGGCGGCGGAGAGUCGGGAAGUCCACCGGCGGUGGAGGCAACAGUGCAGAGCACACUGCCAACGACAUGCUGGUGAUGGCGGACAACCUGCAAGUGGUCGCGGCCACCAAGGCAGCCAUCGCCGGUUGCUUCACAGUGCGUGACCUUGGCGAGGCGCACUACCACCUCGGCAUGAAGAUCGUCCAGGAUGGUCGCAACCGCUGCAUCAUGCUCACGCAGCAGCGCUAUGUGGAGCAGCUGCUGCAGCGCCACAGCCUGGAGAAUGCCAAGCCGCGCGCCACCCUGCUGCCUCAGGGCAUGUGUGCUCUGCCAGCCAGCGACGCCCAGCCGACAGUGAUUGAUGGCAGCGGCUACCGUGUGCUGGUGGGCGAGCUGAAAUACCUCGCCACCAGCACGCGCCCGGACAUCAGUGUUUUUUUAAAGUAAUAUAUUCCUUUUAAGGAAUAAAGAGGCCAUUUUGGCCUUUGGAAAUAAGGAACAAAUUGAGGCCGAUCCGUACAUUUUCAUUCCUCGAGCCAAAAACGUCCAUUGCUGUCAGAUUGCUCCAUAGUGUGCAGAACUUAGUAUUAUCGAUCAUAGGGCGCCGUAGCUUAACUGGUAAAGCACCACCUUAACCGGUGGGAGAUUUUGGUUCGAAUCCCACCGGCGUCACCAUGGGUUGUGAGACUUGUUCACUGAUAGUAUAUCAGUAUAUCUGAGGCAUUCCUCAGGGCAACCCGUGGUGUAUGUGAUGACAAGUCCAUCACCAGAAGGCUAGGCGCCGAGGAGGAGGAGGAAAUGGCUGCACAAGGUCAAUGGAGCUGUCCAAGCAAAGUACCUACCAAGAGGCUACUGAAACAUGGCUAGGCCGAACCUCGCACGAGCCUUAGAUGGUGACCUCUAUGAGGGGUGCAGAAUCCCCCAGCGGGUGAAGCGGGUCGUAGGGGGCUAACUACCCUCCGCCAGGACAAAGCGCAGGGUGCUGUGUAGAGUGCAGUAGUGUAAGGGUAGGGAGGCGGUGCGACAUGCACGUGGCCUGAAGUUGUAACAGGAGCACCAGACUCCGGCAGGUUGCGAUAACUGGUCGUGUUCCACAGCGACAGUGUGGCGUCCUCACCAACGAUAGGUGGAACUCUAGGGUGGAAAAGGGCCCGUAGAGGUGACGCGGUGGGAAUAUAGCUUAUAGGACUGACUAGGUGCAGACCUCAGAGCGUUCCCCCCUUAACACACGCCAGGUUGAGCGGACACCGGUGUAACAAUAAUAAUAAUAA